rnacentral:rRNA from 1 species
GAUGAACGCUAGCGGCAGGCUUAAUACAUGCAAGUCGUGGGGCAGCAUGUCCCGCAGCAAUGCGGGAUGAUGGCGACCGGCAAACGGGUGCGGAACACGUACACAACCUUCCUUUAAGUGGGGAAUAGCCCAGGGAAACUUGGAUUAAUACCCCGUAAUAUAUAGAAGCGGCAUCGCUUUUAUAUUAUAGCAGCAAUGCGCUUGAAGAUGGGUGUGCGGCUGAUUAGGUAGUUGGCGGGGUAAUGGCCCACCAAGCCGACGAUCAGUAACUGGUGUGAGAGCACGACCAGUCACACGGGCACUGAGACACGGGCCCGACUCCUACGGGAGGCAGCAGUAAGGAAUAUUGGUCAAUGGACGCAAGUCUGAACCAGCCAUGCCGCGUGGAGGAUGAAGGUCCUCUGGAUUGUAAACUUCUUUUAUCUGGGAAGAAAUCCAUUUUUUCUAAAAUGGUUGACGGUACCAGAUGAAUAAGCACCGGCUAACUCCGUGCCAGCCGCCGCGGUAA